AGUGAACGCUGGCGGUAGGCCUAACACAUGCAAGUCGAACGGCAGCACAGAGGAGCUUGCUCCUUGGGUGGCGAGUGGCGGACGGGUGAGGAAUACAUCGGAAUCUACUCUGUCGUGGGGGAUAACGUAGGGAAACUUACGCUAAUACCGCAUACGACCUACGGGUGCAAGCAGGGGACCUUCAGGCCUUUCGCGAUUGAAUGAGCCGAUGUCGGAUUAGCUAGUUGGCGGGGUAAAGGCCCACCAAGGCGACGAUCCGUAGCUGGUCUGAGAGGAUGAUCAGCCACACUGGAACUGAGACACGGUCCAGACUCCUACGGGAGGCAGCAGUGGGGAAUAUUGGACAAUGGGCGCAAGCCUGAUCCAGCCAUACCGCGUGGGUGAAGAAGGCCUUCGGGUUGUAAAGCCCUUUUGUUGGGAAAGAAAUCCAGCUGGCUAAUACCCGGUUGGGAUGACGGUACCCAAAGAAUAAGCACCGGCUAACUUCGUGCCAGCCGCCGCCGUAA
rnacentral:rRNA from 1 species